rnacentral:rRNA from 1 species
GAGUAGAGCGGCGGACGGGUGAGUAACGCGUAGGAAUCUACCUGGUAGUGGGGGGAUAACUUGGGGAAACCCAAGCUAAUACCGCAUACGCCCUAAGGGGGAAAGCGGGGGAUCUUCGGACCUCGCGCUAUUGGAUGAGCCUAAGUCGGAUUAGCUUGUAGGUAGGGUAACGGCCUACCUAGGCAACGAUCCGUAGCUGGUCUGAGAGGACGAUCAGCCACACUGGGACUGAGACACGGCCCAG